AACGUAGGAGGCAAGCGUUAUCCGGAUUUACUGGGCGUAAAGCGCGUGCAGGCGGUGACGUAAGUCGUGCGUGAAAGCUCCCGAGCUUAACUGGGAGAGGUCGUGCGAGACUGCGUGACUAGAGGAGAGUAGAGGCGAGUAGAAUUCCGGGUGUAGUGGUGAAAUGCGUAGAGAUCCGGAGGAAUACCAGUGGCGAAGGCGGCUCGCUGGGCUCUAUCUGACGCUGAGACGCGACAGCAUGGGUAGCGAACGGG
rnacentral:rRNA from 1 species